rnacentral:rRNA from 1 species
GACGAACGCUGGCGGCGUGCUUAACACAUGCAAGUCGAACGGAAAGGCCCUGCUUUUGUGGGGUGCUCGAGUGGCGAACGGGUGAGUAACACGUGAGUAACCUGCCCUUGACUUUGGGGUAUCUUCAGGAAACUGGGGCUAAUACCGGAUAGGAGCUCCUGAUGCACGGUGGGGGUUGGUAAGUUUCGGCGGUUGGGGAUGGUCUCGCGGGUCAUCAGCUUGUUGGUGGGGUAGUGGCUUACCAAGGCUUUGACGGGUAGCCGGCCUGAGAGGGUGACCGGCCACCUUGGGACUGAGAUACGGCCCAGACUCCUACGGGAGGCAGCAGUGGGGAAUAUUGCACAAUGGGCGGAAGCCUGAUGCAGCAACGCCGCGUGCGGGAUGACGGCCUUCGGGUUGUAAACCGCUUUCGCCUGUGACGAAGCGUGAGUGACGGUAAUGGGUAAAGAAGCACCGGCUAACUACGUG